rnacentral:rRNA from 1 species
AUGCAAGUCGAGGGGCAUCGCGGUGCAGCAAUACACUGGCGGCGACCGGCGUACGGGUGCGUAACGCGUAUGCAACCUGCCCCGCACCGGGGGAUAGCCCGCCGAAAGGCGGAUUAAUACCCCAUGGCCCCGGGGGCCCGCAUGGGCAUCCGGGUAAAGCCUUGGCGGUGCGGGAUGGGCAUGCGUGCCAUUAGCUGGCUGGUGGGGUAACGGCCCACCAGGGCGACGAUGGCUAGGGGGUCUGAGAGGAUGGUCCCCCACACUGGUACUGAGACACGGACCAGACUCCUACGGGAGGCAGCAGUGAGGAAUAUUGGUCAAUGGGCGGAAGCCUGAACCAGCCAUGCCGCGUGCGGGAAGAAGGCCCUACGGGUUGUAAACCGCUUUUCCCCGGGAAGAAUAACCCCGACGCGUCGGGGGAUGCCGGUACCGGGGGAAUAAGGAUCGGCUAACUCCGUGCCAGCAGCCGCGGUAAUACGGAGGAUCCGAGCGUUAUCCGGAUUUACUGGGUUUAAAGGGUGCGUAUGCGGCCCUGCAAGUCAGCGGUGAAAUGUGGCUGCUCCACCGUUU